GGAGAGGUGUCCGAGUGGUUUAAGGAGCACGACUGGAACUCGUGUGGGUGUUAAUAGCGCCUCGAGGGUUCGAAUCCCUCUCUCUCCGCCA
rnacentral:tRNA from 1 species